UACAGAGGUGGCAAGCGUUGUUCGGAAUUACUGGGCGUAAAGGGCGCGUAGGCGGUCUUUUAAGUCUUGUGUGAAAUCCCUCGGCUCAACUGAGGAACUGCACGGGAUACUGGAAGACUUGAGUUCGGGAGAGGGAAGCGGAAUUCCGGGUGUAGCGGUGAAAUGCGUAGAUAUCCGGAGGAACACCGGUGGCGAAGGCGGCUCCUGGACCGAUUACUGACGCUGAGGCGCGAAAGCUAGGGGAGCAAACGGG
rnacentral:rRNA from 1 species